rnacentral:rRNA from 1 species
GACGAACGCUGGCGGCGUGCUUAACACAUGCAAGUCGAACGGUAAGGCCCUUCGGGGUACACGAGUGGCGAACGGGUGAGUAACACGUGGGUGAUCUGCCCUGCACUUCGGGAUAAGCCUGGGAAACUGGGUCUAAUACCGGAUAGGACCCUGGGAUGCAUGUCCUGGGGUGGAAAGCUUUUGCGGUGUGGGAUGGGCCCGCGGCCUAUCAGCUUGUUGGUGGGGUGAUGGCCUACCAAGGCGACGACGGGUAGCCGGCCUGAGAGGGGGACCGGCCACAAUGGGACUGAGAUACGGCCCAGACUCGUACGGGAGGCAGCAGUGGGGAAUAUUGCACAAUGGGCGCAAGCCUGAUGCAGCGACGCCGCGUGAGGGAUGACGGCCUUCGGGUUGUAAACCUCUUUCAGCACCGACGAAGCGCAAGUGACGGUAGGUGCAGAAGAAGGACCGGCCAACUACGUGCCAGCCGCCGCAGUAA